GAACUAUCUUGUCGUUACUCCGACGUGCAGGUUCUUUGAUUACGUCAUCAAACCGGACAGGAAGUUGAAUCUACUGAAGAGUGAUACAGACGAAAACGAAAAGACGGGAAGAGAUUCGAUGAUGAGGAGACUGAGAGAGAAGGUGAUGGAAGAGGGAGAACAGGACUUCAGGACCGAGGACUUGCCGGGAGGCCUGCUGGAAUCCCCGACAUGUCUCAUGGUAACUCUUGAGCAGAAGAAGGCGUCUGAUGAGUGGCUGCAUGUCAACAUCAAAAAAAUACCUGGGAAAGGGAUUUUCAAUUAGAGAACCUGCAUGGGAAUCCCCCCCGACACGCAACGAGAGCAAGACACACACAGAGAAAUAUGUGAAAAUACACAAAACAACGGAAAUGACUCAAAAUCAACAACACCCAACAGCUGACAACAGAUUCACUCUCCGGCACCCAGACACUGGCUGAGUCCCACAUAUGACAACACACCAUGUUUACCCCUUUGACUUCCCAUCCCACGCAUCCUGUUUGUGGCAGCAUCCUCCAUUGUUCCCGUCUGUAUCUACCUGAGCAGGUACAAACACUCCUUUCCACCGCAGCCGUCCACGGAUACAGUAAAAGGGAUCCCUGCCCAUGUGCUUUUGUUUUGUUAUCAACAUUUGGUUGCUUUAUCAUUUCUUAAGUGGGUGGAAAAAAAAGAGGAGGGAGGAUGGAAAAUCUGCUGAUAAAUGCAGAACACAAAGAAGAAGCCACACAAAGAGAAACCUCCAGUGAGACAAAGCUUUUUGGAUUUAGCCUCACAAAGUGGUAGGUAGAAAGUAUUUUAAAAAAUGAGAUUAAGAGGGCCUUGCUGAAUCCACAACAAAGCCCACACUUGAUUACUAAAAGGAGGGCACCUCUUUUGGGGCAGCACCCCAGCUGAUGUCACCCUGAAGGAAGUGCUUUGAAGGGGAUGGGGGCAGGCACGACAAUACAGUGUUGUACACCAGCAGCAUCACAAGGACAUGACGCUAUCCCUGUGAGGAGUGGGCUUCACAAUGCACGUAUAUUGGCCAUAAUGUGAACAUGUUGAUGAGGGGCCUUCCUAAGUGCACCAUCAAAGUGAUGGGGAUGUGUUUGGUGCAGUCAGAGGAUGGGUAAACACAUGAUUUAGCUCCAUAUCUCAGCUGCAGAGUGACACACAGAAACAGCUUUAUUUUGCACCUAGAAUCAUUUAGUUCAUAGUUGCGAGCAAAUCCUGCAGCAACUCAUGGAAAUAUAAAACUAAGCCCACAAGAUUGAGAAGUGGUGUGACACUGCCCUCUAGUGUCUGGAGGUUAAAGUGUUAAAACUCACUGUACAGUAGUUUUAUGAUGGAGUGAAUUAAGUGCCAAAACACUUUAUCAAACAGUGUCUAAUCUGAUUGGUUCUUAGUUUUAUUUAAUUAAUCUAGAAUAAAAAUACUUUAAUCUUACCUUA